UUGAGCCCAGGAGUUCUGGGCUGUAGUGCACUAUGCCAAUCGGGUGUCCGCACUAAGUUCAGCAUCAAUAUGGUGACCUGCUGGGAGCGGGGGACCACCGGGUUGCCUAAGUAGGGGUGAACUAGCCCAUGUUGGAAACGGAGCAGAUCGAAACUCCUGUGCUGAUCAGUAGUGGGAUGGCGCCUGAGAAUAGCCACUGCACUCCAGCCUGGGCAACAUA
ensembl:misc_RNA Metazoa_SRP Metazoan signal recognition particle RNA